AGCCAAUCAGGCGUAACGCAGGCCACGUCCAGCUCGUGCGGUGACGUGCGUCGUUUUCCCGGUCUUUCUUUAGGAGUGAGGGCAGCUAUCAGCUUAGCAGACAGAGACAGAAAAAAGAGAGAAAUAAGAAUUAUCCUAAAAAAAAUAACAACGAGAUAGAAAAGUAGCAACAAACAAAAGUCGGUACACUUAUCUGCUGGAAGUCCGGAGCGAGCGAUUACCCAAAGGAGACGCGUCAAGUCGGCUAGCUACCUACCUUCCAUUGGGAGAGCCGCUCGGUUCUAACAUCGGAGUACUCGGCUUUGACAAACACGGAGACGGUCAGGUUUUUUGAGAGGACGGAGAGAAUCCGAGGGACCAGGACCACAUCCUAGUCGCGACAGAUGGUAGGCCAACUAUUUUGAGGAUAAACCACCACGAAGGAGAUACAUACACACUCACACCAUACAUUCACAUUACACCCCAUUGGACUUUUAAAAUCAGGUGCACCUGCAACAACUUUUAUUUCUAAGGGCCCUAACAGACACUUUUAUUUAUUGUGUGCAUAUUUAUUAUUUUAUUUUGGUUUUUGUUGCUCAACACAUUGGCUCCUCAUGAAUUUAUUAUCUUAUGAUCCUGGCCAGAGUUUUAUACCUAAUCAGAGUUGUUAUUAUACUGUAACACACUCUUAAAUCACUAAAACGGGUUACAUACGGCUCCAGCACAGGAUCAUGAAAACACGGAGGAAACUCCACCGUUUCCCCAAUAAACAAAAACAGAGAAAGUUAUGG